rnacentral:rRNA from 1 species
UGGGGAAUAUUGCACAAUGGGCGCAAGCCUGAUGCAGCCAUGCCGCGUGUAUGAAGAAGGCCUUCGGGUUGUAAAGUACUUUCAGCGAGGAGGAAGGCGUUGUGGUUAAUAACCGCAGCGAUUGACGUCACUCGCAGAAGAAGCACCGGCUAACUCCGUGCCAGCAGCCGCGGUAAUACGGAGGGGGCAAGCGUUAAUCGGAAUUACUGGGUGUAAAGCGCACGCAGGCGGUCUGUCAAGUCGGAUGUGAAAUCCCCGGGCUCAACCUGGGAACUGCAUCCGAAACUGGCAGGCUAGAGUCUUGUAGAGGGGGGUAGAAUUCCAGGUGUAGCGGUGAAAUGCGUAGAGAUCUGGAGGAAUACCGGUGGCGAAGGCGGCCCCCUGGACAAAGACUGACGCUCAGGUGCGAAAGCGUGGGGAGCAAACA